ensembl:snRNA U6 U6 spliceosomal RNA
GUGUUCUCUUCAGCAGCACAUAUACUAAAAUUGGAAUGAUAAAGAAAAGAUUAGCAUUGCCCCUUCGCAAGAAUGACACACAAAUCUGUAAAGCGUUCCAUAUUUUU